rnacentral:rRNA from 1 species
CCUACGGGAGGCAGCAGUAGGGAAUUUUCGUCAAUGGGCGCAAGCCUGAACGAGCAAUGCCGCGUGAACGAGGAAAGUCUUCGGAUCGUAAAGUUCUGUUGAAGGGGAAACAGAGCGGAGAGAGGAAAUGGUCUCCGAUUGAUAUUACCCUUCGAGGAAGUCACGGCUAACUACGUGCCAGCAGCCGCGGUAAUACGUAGGUGGCGAGCGUUAUCCGGAAUGAUUGGGCGUACAGAGUGCGUAGGCGGCCUGCUAAGUCUGGAGUGAAAGGUACCGGCUCAACCGGUACAGGCUCUGGAAACUGGCGGGCUAGAGAGCAGGAGAGGGCGGUGGAACUCCAUGUGUAGCGGUAAAAUGCGUAGAUAUAUGGAAGAACACCAGUGGCGAAGGCGGCGGCCUGGCCUGUUGACUGACGCUGAGGCACGAAAGCGUGGGGAGCAAAUAGGAUUAGAUACCCGUGUAGUC